UACGGAGGGUGCGAGCGUUGUCCGGAAUCACUGGGCGUAAAGGGCGCGUAGGUGGCGCGGGAAGUCAACGGUGAAAGUUCGGGGCUCAACCCUGAAUCGGCCGUCGAUACUCCCGGGCUCGAGCACUGUAGAGGCAGAUGGAAUUCCGGGUGUAGCGGUGGAAUGCGUAGAGAUCCGGAAGAACACCGGUGGCGAAGGCGGUCCGCUGGGCAGUUGCUGACACUGAUGCGCGACAGCGUGGGGAGCAAACAGG
rnacentral:rRNA from 1 species